rnacentral:rRNA from 1 species
UAAGCUUGCGCUCGUACUACCCAGGCGGAAUGCUUAAGGUGUUAACUUGGUUAAGCGACACUGGCAGGGUCGAUACUGCCAAUGUCAAGCAUUCAUCGUUUACGGCGUGGACUACUGGGGUAUCUAAUCCCAUUCGCUACCCACGCUUUCGUCUCUCAGCGUCAGGAACGUUCUAGUAGAAAGCCUUCGCAUUUGGUGUUCUUGCCGAUAUUAACGCAUUUUACCGCUACACCGGCAAUUCCAUCUACCUCUCCCGCCCUCAAUUUUAAAAGUUUUUCCCGCAGUCCUGGGGUUAAGCCCCGGGAUUUGACGAGAAACUUCCUAAAACGCCUACAGACUCUUUACGCCCAAUAAAUCCGGAUAACGCUCGGGGCUCACGUAUUACCGCUGCUGCUGGCACGUGAUUAGCAGCCCCUUAUUCUUGAGGUACCGUCAUUGAUUCGUCCCUCAUAAAAGGUCUUUACACCCCGAAGGGCUUCUUCGACCACGCGGCGUCGCUCCAUCAGACUUUCGUCCAUUGUGGAAUAUUCUUGA